UCGGCGAUGGCCGGGACUCCCACAGGUCUGUGUAUUCAAAACAGGGGGUCGUCCUAAGUCUGGGGGCUCGAAACUCUGUUUAAUUUCAUCUGGGGGGCUUCGCACAGAGCCCCGGCACCGGGCGGGAGGCGGGACACGCGUGGGACAGCGCCGCCGAAUCGCCCACCUGUGGCGGGAUACCCCGGCACUGUUUUACCAGCCCCGUGAACUGCAAGAAAAUCAAGCCAGGAAAAAUAAAUACUUGCAAGACUGGCUGGCAUAGGGAUGCUGCUAAUGUUAAAGCCUGACAACACAACUUAAACCAGAAUGACCAGCAGCGAUAAAAACUAAGGCAUAUGUGGUUAUGUUUGGCAGCGCAACGUGCCUUGCAGAAGCGGAUGCAAUAUUUGUGCUGCGGAACUGUUGUAUCGCUUUAAUUGGAGCAGGUGAACAAAACCCAUCCCUCCUCUCAUUCCCACCCGCACCAACCCGCAUGUGACUGCUGCUGCCACGUUCAGGGCUCCAUUCGCUCUCGACAGCAGCAGAACACCGCUGGAGAAAGGGAACGAGUCCAGAUCAGCCAGUCAUCCGAUUCAACACAACCUACCGCUAUAUUGGUUCUUCAUUAAAAAAUAACGUCAGAGGAGUUGUAAUUAUGGCCGUCAAGCAAGCAUAUGCAGAAGUUGAAGUCCAUGACUUAGGAACUUAAGUGAAGGUCAGUGAAUAGAGUUCUAUGAUUUUCAUUAAUGGCUGCAAUACUACAAAGCCAUUACUCAUCAGAAAUUUGGCAGAGUAAUGGUGGUGCCUAAUAUCAUUAGGUAGUCCUAAUGAAUUCUCAUGUAAUCAAAUCUAAUCUCUGGAUGAGCUCAGUAGGCUGAGGCCAGUGAAUGGCUAGAACGUCUGGUGCACUUAGGCAGUGACAUAAGGACCGUCACUAGAGCCAAUGCAGCGAGCUUUGCCCACUGAACACCUUUAGCACUUGACGUAUCUUCACUACUGAGUGCUAAAUAAGAGCAGCAGCGUGUUAGAAAUUGCAUGUCAUGUAAGCCACGGUUUUGGGGGAUUUCCCACAGACAGAGGGUGAGCGGGUCCCCCAGUCACACCCAACCUGACGGGAUGAAGUCCUGUGAAUAUGGGAUACAGAGAAGACCUGGGAAUGUUUUGCUCUAUCACAGUCUGCAAAUCCUCAGUUCCUUGUCCGAAGAGCUGCAAACAUCUCUCCGUGCUUCUCCUACAGCAGUUAUGUCCUUUGUCUCCUACUACUUCUGCAGCCUACUGGUCCUCUGAUCUUGCAGCCUCUCUGGAAGGUAGAAUAUCAAAGGCUACAUUUUCUCUCAUAGUCUAAAUUUGCUUCUGGGUCUUGGUCAGUUCUUCAAAGGCUGUGGAGUUUGUGCUAUUGAAGGCCCUUCAGCUAAAAAUACUGAGCGAGUACUGCAAAGAACUUGCUAGAUUUGAAGGGGUACUGGCAAAGAGAAGAUAAUCAUGAAAAUUUCCAACAGUGGAAAAUGCUUCCAUUUCUCUUUGGGAGCUUGCUUUGGAAUGCUGCUGCAGGCACAGCAAGUUCAUAAGGUUCCUGUAAUCUUAGAGCUUUAGGAAGAGAUGAAACAGUAAGGCAAUCUGGGAAUGAAAAACUUCACACUCACAACUACCAGAGUUAAUUCUCUUGAAGCAACUGUUUCACUGAUAAUUUGAACUACAGCAGGUAGCCCCUGAGACGGGGAAGAAAGCCCUACUCACUCAGUAGCCGACAAGGGGUUGGGCUUAGAUCACCCACACACGCACAAAGAGAGUCUAAGGAAUGAGAACUGUUCAAGAAUUCAGAGAGGAAAUAAUGAAAAAAAACCCCCUACUUGGUAGAUAUCACUUCACUCUUUAGUAGGGUGCUGUAAUAGAAACGUUUAGCCCCAUCAUGUAUGUGAUUGCAGUCACAGGAAAACACAUUGCAAGAGAUUAUUUUUUUUUUCUAUGGGAGAGCUCUUUCUUUUUCUCCUUUUUGAACCUUAUUCUGCUCCAUCACUACCUUAUUUGUAGCAGUUAUGUGAAUUCAACAUUGAUGAAAGAUGUUAAGAUGAAGUUUGAAGUCUUUUAUUUGCCAAGAAUAAGAGCAAUAUUAUCCUGUUUUAUGCUGCUGAAUUUGCAAUUAACUCUUGACUUCUUUGGAGUAUUUUGGAUGGAAAUCACUCCAUCCUGCUGUGUGAGUUUGCGCAUUUUUUUGUCUCUGCUGUUGGUUCAGCUGCACAAUCAGCAGCCCUGGAAGAAAAACCAGAACAGAAGAUAUUCCAUGCAGCCACCAGGACUCUAAGGAUCAAACUGUCUAAUCUUGCUCAUGGCUGCUCUUCAUGAUGAGGUAGAUGAUCACAAGAGCUUCCUGUCAUCAGAGCUGUCCAUGCCAGCACUGCAGCACUAGGAGAUGAAAAGCACUACUACUAGUAGGGACAAAUACUAGGCAACAUCUCAGCUUUUCAGCUAAGUGCUGAAAAGUCUCUCAUUUCUAUAAUAUUUUACUAACAGUAAAAUCAGGGUCUUAAUCCUGAAGCAUGUUGUACUUAGUGCGAGGAAAGUGAGUAAUUAAACCCUGCGUGGAAGAGAUUAGCUGCCUGUGAACAAACGGCUUAGGAGCACAAACAUGAUCAAUGAAUGACACCAGCAAAAGUUCUCUGAAGUCCUCAGGAUUACGAACUGGAAGCUGGAUGUUGGUCAGAAGCAAACUGUAAUUAUUUCACCUAGUGUUCUGAGGGAAUACAGGAACAUAAACCUUCCCAAUGGAAGCACAGAAAUGAUGCAGAAAAGAAUUCUAGGAAAACAAGCAAUGAGAACGAGUGGACAAGAUACACCAGAGAACUGUCCCAGCUCAUUGGAAAUUAGCUGAUUUUCUUGAAUUCCAUCAUGACACAGCCAGAAUCUCAUGGCUUUAAUAAGGGGAAGUUAUCCUGGCAGGCUGUUUUCAGUUCUAGAAGACUGUAGAAUUUGGAUACUGAGAUUUUGCUGUCAUUUCAGUAAAUCGCAUUGGAAAUUUGGAAGGAGAAAAUAAGUUGUAUUUACUUUGCAUUUUCAUAGAGAUUCAAUAAUGCAUGGGGCUAAGAUCACUGUUUCAACAUAAAAGGAACGUUUACAUUUUCUGACCCUGAAGCAGCAAGGGUUGAUUUUUAUAAUUAAAUUUGCAUUCAUCUGCUUUCCUGCACUCUGUUGCUUUGCUGAGUACGUCACAGGGCAAAAGGGACUAAUGAUGGAUAAUUGAAAUCCUUGUGAAGACUCCCAGCCCUGUCAUUUUACACACAGUAAAAUUUCAUACAGCAAA